GAUGAACGCUAGCUACAGGCUUAACACAUGCAAGUCGAGGGACCGGCGCACGGGUAAGUAACACGUAUCCAACCUGCCCUUUACUCGGGGAUGGCCUUUACAAUGAAAGAUUAAUACUCGAUGCAAAGGAUGGGGAUGGGUUCCAUUAGGUGGUUGGUGAGGUAACGGCACACCAAGCCUUCGACGGAUAGGGGUUAGGAGAUGAAGGUCCCCCACAUCGGAACUGAGACACGGUCCAAACUCCUACGGGAGGCAGCAGUGUGGAAGAUUGGGCAAUGAGCGUUAGCCUGAACCAGCCAAGUAGGGUGAAGGAUGAAUGGUUAGGGGUACUAAGUUUCUUUUAUAGAAGAAUAUGUAUUAUAUGAAUAAGGAUCGGCUAACUCCGUGCCAGCAGCCGCGGUAAUAC
rnacentral:rRNA from 1 species